rnacentral:lncRNA from 1 species
UUUCUUCUUCUCCUUCUUUCUUCUUCGUGGAAACGGCGAACCAGAAGUUGCAGCUCAUCGUCUGCUCCGUCGCCGCUCGUCCCGCCGCCGCGCCGCACGCCCGCGCGCGCGCCGCUCGCCGCCGUGCGCCAUCGGCCCCGUCCCUCGCGCCCAGGCGUCUCCCCCGUGCGUCUCCAGCCCUGCUCCGCCUCUGUCCAGCUCGAUCCGGCCACCUCCGGCCACCGCCUACCUCCGUUCGGCCACCUCGCAACUCCCCGGCGUCCCCCUCACCUUCCGCCGGCCUUCCCUUGCCGUUUUGGCCGCCGGAGCAGCCCCGGCCAGCCGCGACCAGCAACCCACGAAAUGGGUUUCCAGCUGGUUCGGGCGCGCUUUUGGGCCGUUUCCGGGCCCCGGAUCCGCGAGUCGCUUUGGGAAGUUUCGUUCCUCGCGUCGCCGCCGUCGGAUUGAUCCGAUUUGCGCGAUUUGGUGAGUAAUCUCACUAAUCCUGGAUUAGUUGGCUAAUUAUGCUUAAGGUUGGUUUACUUUUAAUUAAUUGUGUUUAGGUUGUUAGAUUAGAAUAAGUUAGCAAUUAUUAGUCAAUUGUGAUGCGAUUUAGAUAAAUUGAUUGUGCAAUUAGCAAGUAGACAUGGUCUACUAAUUAUUGGAAGUGUCUCGGGAUUUUUCCCGACCCUUAGUGGGCUCCAAUUAGGCUUUUCGGGCCUGAGUGGAAUUUUUAGUAUUUAAAUAUUAAUUUUCGCAAUUAAAUUAAAUAAUUAUUUAUUUUCCGAAAAUUCAACUGAGAUGGUCUGGAACCCGAAGAUUAUGCUGAUGACCGUGGUGAAGUCCGUUUAUUUAAUCGGGCUUUAUUUUGAGAUAAAUUGAAUUUUUAAUAUUAAUUAUUUAAUUUUCGAAAUUAAUAAAUUAAUUAAUUAUUUUUCGGAAAUUAAGAUUUUGAUGGCCGACGACCGAAAUCUCGUGCUGAUCAUUGUGGUGCAGUCCGUUUAUUUAUUUGAGCUCCACGUUGCAUGGAAUUAAAUAAAUUGUGAUAUUUUGGGGAUUUACCCUAAAUUGAUUGGAAUUGAUUGAGAUUGAAUUAUUGAUUGGUAAAUGGCCAAGUAUGUUUAUUCAGCAUUUGCAAUGCUUUGUUAAGUUGUAAAGUGAGUAGAAUUGUGAGAGUGAUUUGAAUAUACUCUUGGCUAAGAUCCAUCAGGUAUGUUAAUAUCGUGUGAAAAUUGAGUGAGUUGAUGAAUAUGUGGGGAUUCAUCCCAAGAUUGAUCAAUGUCGGUAUUCAAUUAGAAUUUGACUAUGAGAGGUUGUGAGUUGAACCUCGGAAGCCGCCGAAGUAUGGCUAUGCCAGUUGGGCCGAGAUUUGCCACCGAAUUUGGAGUCGGUCGCGCCUGAUAAGGCCGUAAUCUGCCACCUAUUAAAGGUCGCGCUCGUUGGGCCGUAAAUUGCCACCUAUUAAAGGUCGCACUCAUUGGGCCGUAAUUUGCCACCCGAUAAGGGUCGCGCCUGAUAAGGCCGUAAUUUGCCACCAUUAAAGGUCGCGCCCAUUGGGCCGUAAUUUGCUACCUAAAGAUAGGUCGUGUCCUUCGGGACUGUAAUUUGUUGCCAAGAAAUUUGGUAGUCUAUGCUUGUGAAGUCGUGAGUACGAUUUGAACCUGAAUAAGGGAAACGACUGGGGAAUGGUCGAAUUGACAUGAAAUCGACUAGGUCGAUGGAUCGAGAUAUUGAUCUGUGAUGUAAUUGCUUGGGUGCCUAUUGAACUGUGCUAAUAUGCAGGUGGAGUCUGAGGCCAAGGUAAGUUCUCUGCCCUGUGCGUGUUUAGGCAGCCUAUACUAUAAUAGUUUACUAAUCGGGCUUAGUGGGGUAGAACUCGCUGAGACGUAGUCUCAUCCUAGUUUGGGGAAAACAUUUCAGGACUCCGUUGAGGAGCUGAGGAGGAGGAGUCUGAGAAGGAGAACUCGAAGGCGAACUUGAGGAAAAUGAUUUUUGGAAGAAGAAGAUAAUUCCGAAGGGGGUCUUGAGUACGACCCGGAUGGACUGAGAGUCUAUCUUCUUUUGAGAAUUCCUUUUGAAGUGAAUAGUUAUGAAGUUGUUUGUGUUUUGUAUAAAAGUUUGGUUAUAAGUUUCAAUAUGAAAAGUAUGGCCCUGCUUUUCUAUCCCAUCGUUUUAUUGUCUGGGGAUUUUAACUGCUUCCGCAUGUGCUUAAUAAAUGAAAGGGUUGGCGAUACUAGUCCUGGGAUAUCGCAUUAUAAAAUCGAC